rnacentral:miRNA from 1 species
GCUGGUUUCCGAUGGUGGCUUAGA